GCAGGUGGCAAGCGUUGUCCGGAAUUAUUGGGCGUAAAGCGCGCGCAGGCGGUUCUUUAAGUCUGAUGUGAAAGCCCACGGGCUCAACCGUGGAGGGUCAUUGGAAACUGGAGAACUUGAGUACAGAAGAGGAAAGCGGAAUUCCACGUGUAGCGGUGAAAUGCGUAGAGAUGUGGAGGAACACCAGUGGCGAAGGCGGCUUUCUGGUCUGUAACUGACGCUGAGGCGCGAAAGCGUGGGGAGCAAACAGGAUUAGAUACCCUGGUAGUCCACGCCGUAAACGAUGAGUGCUAAGUGUUAGGGGGUUUCCGCCCCUUAGUGCUGCAGCUAACGCAUUAAGCACUCCGCCUGGGGAGUACGGCCGCAAGGCUG
rnacentral:rRNA from 1 species